CACCACGCACCGCCGGGAGGGAGACACGCGGUCUAGAGGCCGAGAGAGCGCUGCGAACGAGGACCCUGCCUGAGGCAGAAGGCGCAAGGCUCACCACCCCCACACACUCCCUCUACGAGCAACCCCACCUCCUCCUUCCACAGGCUGCCAGUGCGCGCGGGGAGCACAGGUGAAGAGAAAUUUACCAGAUGGAAACUUGAUUGACAUAAAGAAUGAAGAGUGCCAAAAAUGUUGUCUGCAUGAGGAAGGGGAGCAGGCUGGAGAGGGGGAAAAAGAAAGAAUGGCUAGAAGAACUAUGGCCACCUUCAAACCUUAAAGGCUGUCAUGGAUCUGCUGGAGUGCAAAACACGGACUGGCAUAAAGUAUUUGCAAGAAGAGAAUAUGGCACAAUUUUCUAUAUCCCUGAAAGGAGAGGAAAUUGAUCUGAAGACCCUCUGAUCUCCCCACUCCAAGUAGCUGCCUCCUUCAAAUGACUAAGCCAACCUGGAUUGUAAACACUGCAGAAAAUAAAUCACGUUACAGCUUAAUCUCACUCAACUUCAGUAGAUUCCCCCUGGAUUUAACAGCUCUGCUUCUAUUCCAGUCCUAGCUAAGGAAAAGGCUGCCACCCGGCCAUGUUCACUGGUUUAUGGAGUAGGUCUAACUUCCAGGUCCCUCCACCAAUGCUGAAACUACCUAUAUUCUGGCUGCCUGAGGAGCUUCCACACCCACUAGCAGGCCUCUGUCUGUCUUCAGGGCUGCCAGUUUUAUGGUCCCCUCAAUCUCUUCUACUCAGAACUGUGAUUGAUUACCCUGCACCCAUCUGCCCCAAGACAGUCUGAGGACCUCUUCAUGUAAAUAAGUCCAAGUGGAUCCUAGGGCGUCUGAUGGCAAUUUUUCUUCACUCCAGUCCCCAUAACAUCAAGAAAUAGAGAUCAUUCCAUCAGUUAACAGAUAAAUAUUGAACAUCUACAAGGGAUACUAUGAUACAAAAUUAGUAAGACAUGAUCCUUGGGGUGCCUGGCUGGCUCAGUUGGUGGGGUGUGUGACACUUGAUCUCAGGCUUGUGAGUUCAAGCCCCACAUUGGGUGUAGAGAUUACUUAAAAAUAAAAUCUUAAAAAAGUAAAACAAAGGACAUGAUCCCUGACCUCAGAGAUCUCAGUUGUGAGACAUGUAAAUAAACAUGGACAAUUAGUGUGAUAACUGCUGAGAAGGAGGUAAGGAAGUACUGCUGUGGGAAGACAAAGGGGAGAUACUUAGUCCAGAGGACAAUGAGGAGGAAAGGAGAGUUUCCCAGGAUUCUUGGAAGGAAAAGCAGGAGUUACGCCAGUGAUUAGGAUGAAGGAAUGGAAGUGGCAUAAGAAGCAUAGGGAACAGUUAUAGAUAGGAAUAGCCUGGAGGACGAGUCUUUUGGGCAAUAGUGGGUAGUUCAUUGAAGCUGGUGUUUAGGCUGCACAAGUAGACCUCAGGGUGCAUCAAGAAGGAUCUUGUGGGGUGCCUGGGUGGCUCAGUCAGUUAAGUGUCUGCCUUUGGCUCAGGUCAUGAUCCCAGGGUCCUGGGAUCGAGCCCCAGGCUGCCUGCCUCCCUCUCCUCCCUGCUCCUGCUCUCUCUCACUAUCUCUGUCACCAUCUGUGUCUCUGUCUCUCAAAUAAAUAAAAAAUCUUAAAAAGAUUUUUCUUUAAAAGAAAAAAAGAAAUAUUUUGUAUGCAUUCCCAGGAAGUUGGAACUUUAUGAAGGCAGUGAGGGCUACGGCUUCAUACUCCAGGAAAAAAAAAAUAAAGGAAAGGAAACUAUACUAUUUGACUCACCACUGAAUAAUACACAGUCUUAAUAGCAUAAACAUUAAAUAAUCACUUAACCAGACAUUAUAAUAUUGGAAGGAUGGGGGACAGGGAUAACAGCUUUCUUAAUAGGAAAUAGCCAUGUUAUGUGAAAAUAUAGAUAUAAAUAACCAGAAUCGCUCAAAUAAUUGUGGUUUGCUUCUGGAGAAUCAGAAGUGGGGAAGGUCGGGAGAUGGGACUGCUUUUCACCACUAGCCUUGUAAUAUGUAACUUUGUAAAUAAGCUUUUUAGA